AGAGUUUGAUCCUGGCUCAGGACGAACGCUGGCGGCGUGCCUAAUACAUGCAAGUAGAACGCUGACUACUUUAGCUUGCUAGAGUAGAAGGAGUUGCGAACGGGUGAGUAACGCGUAGGUAACCUGCCUACUAGCGGGGGAUAACUAUUGGAAACGAUAGCUAAUACCGCAUAUCAGUGUUUAACACAUGUUAGAUGCUUGAAAGAUGCAAAUGCAUCACUAGUAGAUGGACCUGCGUUGUAUUAGCUAGUUGGUGGGGUAACGGCCUACCAAGGCGACGAUACAUAGCCGACCUGAGAGGGUGAUCGGCCACACUGGGACUGAGACACGGCCCAGACUCCUACGGGAGGCAGCAGUAGGGAAUCUUCGGCAAUGGGGGCAACCCUGACCGAGCAACGCCGCGUGAGUGAAGAAGGUUUUCGGAUCGUAAAGCUCUGUUGUAAGAGAAGAACGUGUGUGAGAGUGGAAAGUUCACACAGUGACGGUAACUUACCAGAAAGGGACGGCUAACUACGUGCCAGCAGCCGCGGUAAUACGUAGGUCCCGAGCGUUGUCCGGAUUUAUUGGGCGUAAAGCGAGCGCAGGCGGUUUCGUAAGUCUGAAGUAAAAGGCUGUGGCUUAACCAUAGUACGCUUUGGAAACUGCGGGACUUGAGUGCAGAAGGGGAGAGUGGAAUUCCAUGUGUAGCGGUGAAAUGCGUAGAUAUAUGGAGGAACACCGGUGGCGAAAGCGGCUCUCUGGUCUGUAACUGACGCUGAGGCUCGAAAGCGUGGGUAGCGAACAGGAUUAGAUACCCUGGUAGUCCACGCCGUAAACGAUGAGUGCUAGGUGUUAGGCCCUAUCCGGGGCUUAGUGCCGUAGCUAACGCAAUAAGCACUCCGCCUGGGGAGUACGACCGCAAGGUUGAAACUCAAAGGAAUUGACGGGGGCCCGCACAAGCGGUGGAGCAUGUGGUUUAAUUCGAAGCAACGCGAAGAACCUUACCAGGUCUUGACAUCCCGAUGACCGCCCUAGAGAUAGGGUUUCUCUUUUGAGCAUCGGUGACAGGUGGUGCAUGGUUGUCGUCAGCUCGUGUCGUGAGAUGUUGGGUUAAGUCCCGCAACGAGCGCAACCCUUAUCCUAAGUAGCCAGCAGGCAGCGCUGGGCACUCUUGGGAGACUGCCAGGGAUAACCUGGAGGAAGGUGGGGAUGACGUCAAAUCAUCAUGCCCCUUAUGAUUUGGGCUACACACGUGCUACAAUGGCGUAAACAAAGAGAGGCGAAGCCGCGAGGUGGAGCAAACCUCAAAAAUAACGUCUCAGUUCGGACUGCAGGCUGCAACCCGCCUGCACGAAGCUGGAAUCGCUAGUAAUCGCGAAUCAGAAUGUCGCGGUGAAUACGUUCCCGGGUCUUGCACUCACCGCCCGUCA
rnacentral:rRNA from 1 species